GAUGAACGCUGGCGGCGUGCUUAACACAUGCAAGUCGAACGGAAAGGCCCAAGCUUGCUUGGGUACUCGAGUGCCGAACGGGUGAGUAACACGUGGGUGAUCUGCCCUGCACUUCGGGAUAUGCCUGGGAAACUCGGUCUAAUACCGGAUAGGACCACUUCUUGGAUGUUGUGGUGGAAAGAUUUUUGGGUUUGGUGUGAGUUCGCGGCCUAUCAGCUUGUUGGUGGGGUGAUGGUCUACCAAGGCGUCGACGGGUAGCCGGCCUGAGAGGGUGUACGGCCACAUUGAGACUGAGAGGCGGCCCAGACUCCGACGGGAGGCAGCAGUGGGGAAUAUUGCACAAGGGGCGCAAGCCUGAUGCAGCGAGGCCGCGGGGGGGAAGACGGCCUUCGGGUUGAAAACUCCUUUCGCUAGGGACGAAGCGUUUUGUGACGGUACCUGGAGAAGAAGCACCGGCUAACUACGUG
rnacentral:rRNA from 1 species